CCUCGAGUGCCAGGUUACAAAUCUGGCUGUCGAGAUGCCUAAAAAGCAUUUCAUAGCAAGGGCCGGGCAAGACCGGUGCCAGCCGCCGCGGUAACACCGGCGGCUCGAGUGGUAACCGUUAUUAUUGGGUCUAAAGGGUCUGUAGCCGGCCGGAUAAGUCUCUUGAGAAAUCUGGCAGCUUAACUGUCAGGCUUUCAGGAGAUACUGUCUGGCUCGAGGCCGGGAGAGGUGAGAGGUACUUCAGGGGUAGGGGUGAAAUCUUGUAAUCCUUGAAGGACCACCAGUGGCGAAGGCGUCUCACCAGAACGGACCUGACGGCAAGGGACGAAAGCUAGGGGCACGAACCGGAUUAGAUACCCGGGUAGUCCUAGCCGUAAACGAUACUCGCUAGGUGUCGGCCACGGUGCGACCGUUGUCGGUGCCGUAGGGAAGCCGUGAAGCGAGCCACCUGGGAAGUACGGCCGCAAGGCUGAAACUUAAAGGAAUUGGCGGGGGAGCACCACAACGGGUGGAGCUUGCGG
rnacentral:rRNA from 1 species